rnacentral:rRNA from 1 species
CCUACGGGUGGCAGCAGUGAGGAAUAUUGGUCAAUGGGCGGGAGCCUGAACCAGCCAAGUCGCGUGAAGGAAGAAGGUACUUAGUAUUGUAAACUUCUUUUGUCGGGGAACAAAGGCGGGGUCGCGUCUCCGGGUGAGUGUACCCGAAGAAAAAGCAUCGGCUAACUCCGUGCCAGCAGCCGCGGUAAUACGGAGGAUGCGAGCGUUAUCCGGAUUUAUUGGGUUUAAAGGGUGCGCAGGCGGGAGAUCAAGUCAGCGGUAAAAUGGCGGGGCUCAACCCCGGCCCGCCGUUGAAACUGGGUUUCUUGAGUUGGAGAAAGGUAUGCGGAAUGCGUGGUGUAGCGGUGAAAUGCAUAGAUAUCACGAAGAACUCCGAUCGCGAAGGCAGCAUACCGGCUCCCGACUGACGCUCAGGCACGAAAUCGUGGGGAUCGAACAGGAUUAGAUACCCCGGUAGUC